AGCAGCUGUUGGAGGAAGGUGUGUGUGUGUUACUCUGGUGCUUGAGCUUUGCUGACUCUGAGGCAAUGUUCACGUUGGUUUUAAUGCAGCAGCCACAGCAUUUUGGAAAAGCUUCUGAGGCUGUAGAAAUGCAGCAAUAGCAACAUCCACCCUGAUUCAAGAUGGCGGAUGCGUAAACGUUUGAGGCGCAAGUGGGCAGAAUUGGGCACCGCCUAACCAAUUUGGACCAAAUUUGGAGCGGGGUGGUUGCUGCUCCAUCCCAAGGCACUCUGGUCAAUAUUGGACUGCAGCGCUGGCUCCAGGAUUAGGAGGUCCCUUGGCAAAGACACCCACUGUUAGCCUUGACCAGCC